AUGCCCUUAGAUGUUCUGGGCCGCACGCGCGCUACACUGACGGAGCCAGCGAGUACUCCCUUGGCCGGAAGGCCCGGGGAAUCUUGUUAAACUCCGUCGUGCUGGGGACAGAGCAUUGCAAUUAUUGCUCUUCAACGAGGAAUCCCUAGUAAGCGCAAGUCAUCAGCUUGCGUUGAUUACGUCCCUGCCCUUUGUACACACCGCCCGUCGCUACUACCGAUUGAAUGGCUCAGUGAGGCGUCCGGACUGGCCCAGAGAGGUGGGCAACUACCACUCAGGGCCGGAAAGCUCUCCAAACUCGGUCAUUUAGAGGAAGUAAAAGUCGUAACAAGGUCUCCGUUGGUGAACCAGCGGAGGGAUCAUUA
rnacentral:ncRNA from 1 species